GUGUCAGCAGCCGCGGUAAUACGUAGGGUGCAAGCGUUGUCCGGAAUUACUGGGCGUAAAGAGUUCGUAGGCGGUUUGUCGCGUCGUUUGUGAAAACCAGCAGCUCAACUGCUGGCUUGCAGGCGAUACGGGCAGACUUGAGUACUGCAGGGGAGACUGGAAUUCCUGGUGUAGCGGUGAAAUGCGCAGAUAUCAGGAGGAACACCGGUGGCGAAGGCGGGUCUCUGGGCAGUAACUGACGCUGAGGAACGAAAGCGUGGGUAGCGAACAGGAUUAGAAACCCCAGUAGUCC
rnacentral:rRNA from 1 species